UACGGGGGGGGUAAGCGUUGUUCGGAAUUACUGGGCGUAAAGGGCUCGUAGGCGGCCAACUAAGUCGGACGUGAAAUCCCUCAGCUUAACUGGGGAACUGCGUCCGAUACUGGAUGGCUUGGAUUUGGGAGAGGGAUGCGGAAUUCCAGGUGUAGCGGUGAAAUGCGUAGAUAUCUGGAGGAACACCGGUGGCGAAGGCGGCAUCCUGGACCAAUAUUGACGCUGAGGAGCGAAAGCUAGGGGAGCAAACGGGG
rnacentral:rRNA from 1 species